GUACGGGAGGCAGCAGUGGGGAAUAUUGGACAAUGGGCGCAAGCCUGAUCCAGCCAUGCCGCGUGGGUGAAGAAGGCCUUAGGGUUGUAAAUCCCUUUCAGCGGGGAAGAUAAUGACGGUACCCGCAGAAGAAGCCCCGGCUAACUCCGUGCCAGCAGCCGCGGUAAUACGGAGGGGGCUAGCGUUGUUCGGAAUUACUGGGCGUAAAGCGCGCGUAGGCGGACCUGCAAGUCGGGGGUGAAAGCCCGAGGCUUAACCUCGGAAUUGCCUUCGAUACUGCGGGUCUCGAGUCCGGGAGAGGUGAGUGGAAUUCCUAGUGUAGAGGUGAAAUUCGUAGAUAUUAGGAAGAACACCAGUGGCGAAGGCGGCUCACUGGCCCGGUACUGACGCUGAGGCGCGAAAGCGUGGGGAGCAAACAGGAUUAGAUACCCUAGUAGUCCA
rnacentral:rRNA from 1 species